UACGGAGGGUGCGAGCGUUGUUCGGAUUUACUGGGCGUAAAGAGCGCGCAGGCGGUCGUUCAAGUCGCGUGUGAAAGCCCCCGGCUCAACUGGGGAGGGUCACGCGAUACUGAUCGACUCGAAGGCAGGAGAGGGUAGUGGAAUUCCCGGUGUAGUGGUGAAAUGCGUAGAUAUCGGGAGGAACACCAGUGGCGAAGGCGACUACCUGGCCUGUUCUUGACGCUGAGGCGCGAAAGCUAGGGGAGCAAACGGG
rnacentral:rRNA from 1 species